rnacentral:lncRNA from 1 species
CAUCAUUCUUGUCACUAUAGGAUUCUUGUCACAAGACCCCAUCCUCAUGCAACCUAAGAUCAAGUGUCAAGCCCACAAUGCUACACAACCUAGGUAACAUGCAAGGAAUGGAAAUGUAAUCAUCUACUAAUCCUAUAAUGCACAAUAUAUCAACAUAUAGGAAUAUGAUCAAGAUAUAGAACUUAGACAUAAAAGGAAGCUCAGUUGCUUCGGGAUGACACCCCCCACCUUUUAUCGCAUUCCGAUUGCUUGUCGACACUUGCAAUCGGCCUCCAGCGGCACCCGGCACCCGGUUUGGCCCGAUCUCUCGCGCGACCACCCGAACGGCCUCCAAUUCACGAUCCGAAAAUUAAAGGUCUUCGGUUAUGUGCCACGAUACUUCAAAUCUGUUUUCAUGAUUUUACGACGUCGUCUCGGCCCUCCAGGCGGAAACGAAGCCUAAACGACUGUUUCUUUAAUAACUUUACAACGGCUCGACGAAUCGCCGAACCAACUUCGCCAACGCGUUCGUUUACCUUGCAAUUUGGUUUACGAAGGGUCAAAUUAGAUCAAACCCUCACAUAUUGAAAAAUCCCAUUUUUGAGCCCUAACAUGCAAUUACUCCCAAAUAAUCCAAAUUAAAUGGAGCAACAUGCUAAAAAUGCUCAUUAGAGGCCACUAGAACUCUUAAAGCUAAGGAUUAAGCUAAAUCCCAAAAGCUUACCCCAAUGUGAACGCCUCAACGAAAACACGUCGCUCCAACGGGCGCACGAAAGCUCAAUCCGUCACCUCCAACGCGUUCGCAAGCUCAAUCUCUACCAACGCCGCGAAUUUGGGCGAGAAAUAUAGAGAGAUAAGAGAGAUAUUUCGAGAGAGAAAGGAGGGUUUCUCUCCCCCUUUCAUGCGUGCGUGUGUGCUUGGUGCUGGCUGCAGCUGAGGAGGAAGAAGGAGUCAACACUCCUUUUUAUAGUCAACACCAACACUAUUCACUUUAGCACAAUUUCAGUUUAGCGGCUCAAAAUAUGAUACCUUUCGCCGGAGCUCCCUGAAUAUCCGUUUGAGCUCAAAUUUGACAGUCAUGUUCGGUUUAACGUACUGAACAAGAAUAUAUCUUAAGUUUUCAGUUUCGACCCCGUUUGGUCACUGAAAACUGUGCCGAACUGCAAUCUUUAUCAGAUGGCUUUCGGAUUUUAUUUCUCACUCUACGGGUGUUAGAAAAAUAUGAAACUUUAAAUCUAGCCUCAUUAAAAUAUUUCUGGCAUUCCCGCCAAUUUUCAUAAUUUUCCGAGACUGUGCAUUUUCUGCUAAUUUAUCUGCCCCGUUUCUCACAGAAAAUCUAAAUCUUCUGUUUUCGCUCCGAUUUCAGCACGGGUCAUUCCAGACUUAUAUUUCACUUCUCUAAAUCUAAUAAAAAUAGUAUCUCAUACUAUUUUUAUUUAUUUCCCUUUUUAUAUUAAAAUCCGCAUAUUACAUCCUACCGUAACUUCAUAAUUUUAGAAGUUCGGUAUCCUACAUGAUCACUGCGGAGCUCAUCGCUCGAAGGGGAGCGACCGCCCCCGAGUAUCGCACUUAGGUGAGUAUGAUCCAAUCCACAACCAUGAGCAUACCAUGUUCACUAAGGCCACAAGACCUGGGAUUCCGAAAUCCACUUUCAACACUUCAAGGGUUAGUCUUUUACCCUAUACCGACAACCUUUCUAGGUCCAAGCCAUUUUCCAACCUAAGUUUAAUAACAUUAGGUCUAAUGUCACUAUGUUCAUUGCCUAGGUUCUAUAACCCUAGGUUCAUUGUUCUUUACUACCUAGAUUCAUUCGACUCUAGGUUCAAUAUCACUAUAUUCAUAACCUAGGUUCAUUAACACUAGGUCCAAUGUCAUUUACAUCCUAGGCCCACUCGACUCCAGGUUUAAUACCACUAAUGCCAUAACCAAGGUUUACUUGACUCUAGGUUCAGUGCCUUUAUCACAUAACCUAGGUUCACUUAACUCUAGGUUUUCUUCUUAACCUAUGUUCUUUAACACUAGGUUCAAUGCCAAAUGUAUUCAACCUAUGUUCACGACACUAGGUUAAUACCACUCGUAUUCAUCCUAGGUUCCCAACACUAGGUUUAUUUCCAACCUAUGUUUAAUAACAUUAGGUUAAUGCCACUCGUAUUCAUCCUAGGUUCACAACACUAGGUUUCAAUACCAUCCACAAUACUUGUCGUCCUAAUUGUUCACACUUAGGAAUAUUAAUUGACAUGCCACUCAAUGUUCUUGCAUUCCAAUGUCAAGUUCUUUACUCUACUUGGAGUUAUCGACCCAAAUGCACAUUCAUAUGAAUUUAGCACAUUCAUAUGAAUUUAGCAUAUUCUCACAUUAUGUCAACAUACAUGCGUUCUUUAACAUUUCCUACACAUGUCUAUCUUCUUAUCAAAAUAGUAAUCAUUAUACAUUUGGCACAUAACUCAUGCAUUCUUUAUUAGCAUAAUCUAUGCAUUCAUUUCUAAAACAUGCAUUGUCAUAACAUCUAGCUCUUAUUUUCCAAUGUCGAAUUCUCUAAUCGACGAAGUUUAACAUGCAUAGUUUAUCUACUAUGAUCCACAUAUACCUGUCAUCCAAGAUAGUCAAUACUUAGCAUCUCAUGCUUUCUUUAACCUCUAUCACAUGCAUUCUUAAUUAACAUAAAUCUCAUGCAUUCAUUUCUUUUAGCAUUACUACACUAGGCCAACAUGCAUCCCUUUAGCACUUUACGUCACGUCAUUAUGCAUUCUCCUAGCAUUAAUCACAUGCAUUCAUCUAGCAUUUCCAUAACAUGCCAACAUGCAUCCAAUGGUAGUCAUCACAUAGCAAUCGUUUCAUGCGUUCACUUAGCAUUAAUUCAUGCAUUCAUCUACCAUUUACAUGCAUCAAUAAGAAAAUCACAUUUCUCUUCGACAUGGAGGCGACCUAGUCGCUUCGGUAAGCACAACCCACCUCAAAUCGCUUUCCGAUUGCUUGUCGACACUUGCAAUUGGCCUCCCGUAGCACCGGUGUCCGAUUCGGCCCGAUUUUGCUAAUACUCACCAACCGUGCGUCGAAUCGCAGCUCAAAAAAUUAUUGGUUUUCAGUUAUGUGCCACGGUGCUCCAAAUCCGUUUUCAUGAUUUUACGAUGUCGCCUUGGCCCUCCAGGUGGAAAUGAAGUCUAAACAUCCGUUUCUUUAAUAACUUCGCGUAGGCUCGAUGAAUCGCCGAACUGACUUCGCCAACGCGUUCGUUUACCUAGAAAUGAGGUUUACGGAAGGUCAAAUGAGAUCAAACCCUAUAAUUUUACAAAACCCCAUUUUCUAAGCCUAACAUGAAUUAACCUCCAAAUAAUCCAAAUUAAAUGGAGCAACAUGCUAACAAUACUCAUUAGAGGCUAUUAGAACACUUAAAGCUAAGGAUUAAGCCAAAUCCCAAAAGCUUACCCCAAUGUGAACGCCGCAACGAAAACACGUCGCUCCAACGGGCGCACGAAAGCUCAAUCCGUCGCCUCCAACGCGUUCGCAAGCUCGAUCUCCACCAACGCCGCGAAUUUGGGCGAGAAAUAUAGAGAGAUGAGAGAGAUAUUUAGAGAGAGAAAGAGAGGGUUUCUCUCACUACACCAUGAACGUGUGAUGCUUGGUGUUGGCUGCAGCUGAGGAGGAAGAAGCCUAGUAGCUUCUACUUAUAGUCAACACCUCAAUAGUAGCAUACACUAUUCACAUCAGGCAGCUCAAAAUCUGAUAUCUUUCGCCGGAGCUCCCUGAAUAUCCGUUUGAGCUCAAAUUUGACAGUCAUGUUCGGUUUAACGUACUGAACAAGAAUAUAUCUUAAGUUUUCAGUUUCGACCCCGUUUGGUCACUGAAAACUGUGCCGAACUGCAAUCUUUAUCAGAUGGCUUUCGGAUUUUAUUUCUCACUCUACGGGUGUUAGAAAAAUAUGAAACUUUAAAUCUAGCCUCAUUAAAAUAUUUCUGGCAUUCCCGCCAAUUUUCAUAAUUUUCCGAGACUGUGCAUUUUCUGCUAAUUUAUCUGCCCCGUUUCUCACAGAAAAUCUAAAUCUUCUGUUUUCGCUCCGAUUUCAGCACGGGUCAUUCCAGACUUAUAUUUCACUUCUCUAAAUCUAAUAAAAAUAGUAUCUCAUACUAUUUUUAUUUAUUUCCCUUUUUAUAUUAAAAUCCGCAUAUUACAUCCUACCGUAACUUCAUAAUUUUAGAAGUUCGGUAUCCUACAUGAUCACUGCGGAGCUCAUCGCUCGAAGGGGAGCGACCGCCCCCGAGUAUCGCACUUAGGUGAGUAUGAUCCAAUCCACAACCAUGAGCAUACCAUGUUCACUAAGGCCACAAGACCUGGGAUUCCGAAAUCCACUUUCAACACUUCAAGGGUUAGUCUUUUACCCUAUACCGACAACCUUUCUAGGUCCAAGCCAUUUUCCAACCUAAGUUUAAUAACAUUAGGUCUAAUGUCACUAUGUUCAUUGCCUAGGUUCUAUAACCCUAGGUUCAUUGUUCUUUACUACCUAGAUUCAUUCGACUCUAGGUUCAAUAUCACUAUAUUCAUAACCUAGGUUCAUUAACACUAGGUCCAAUGUCAUUUACAUCCUAGGC